UGACUUUUUCCAAAGUUAAACUUCUUUAAGUAUGACUAAGUUUAUAGAGAAAAAUAACAACAUUUUCAACACAAAACAAAUACAAUAUAAAAAUAUUGUAUUUAAUGAAACUAGUUUUAUGUUGUAAAUAUUGUUACAUUUUUCUAUAAACUUGGUCAAAGUUAAAGAAGUUUGACUUUGAAGAAAAAGUC
rfam:Oryza glumipatula chromosome 12, whole genome shotgun sequence.